ACGCACGCUGGCGGCGUGCUUAACCCCUGCCAGUCGAACGGAAAGGCCCUGCUUGCAGGGUACUCGAGUGGCGAACGGGUGAGUAACACGUGGGUGAUCUGCCCUGCACUUCGGGAUAAGCCUGGGAAACUGGGUCUAAUACCGGAUAGGAGCCAUUUUUAGUGUGAUGGUUGGAAAGUUUUUUCGGUGUAGGAUGAGCUCGCGGCCUAUCAGCUUGUUGGUGGGGUAAUGGCCUACCAAGGCGGCGACGGGUAGCCGGCCUGAGAGGGUGGACGGCCACAUUGGGACUGAGAGACGGCCCAGACUCCUACGGGAGGCAGCGGUGGGGAAGAUUGCACAAUGGGCGCAAGCCUGAUGCAGCGACGCCGCGUGGGGGAGGACGGCCUUCGGGUUGUAAACUCCUUUCGCUAGGGACGAAGCUUUUUGUGACGGUACCUAGAGAAGAAGCACCGGCUAACUACGUG
rnacentral:rRNA from 1 species